UAGAAUAGAAAAUUAGUAAUUAAGAGUUGUAAUUAGUUAUGAUUAUUCAUUAUGAGUUGUAAUUACCGACACUAUUAUAUAUAGUAUCAAAUACAAUGAGAAAGGCAUCAAGCCAGAAUUUAUAACAUGGUAUCAGAAGGUUCGAUCAAACCAAACCUUUGAAAUUGUGUUAUCUUGGGCUUGUCCGGCGACACCCACUGUGUCGUUCUCGAAAUUGUCUCUUCCAUUCCGGUUCAU
rnacentral:lncRNA from 1 species